CGGAGUGUAGCACAGUGGGUAAGGAACUGGGCUUGUAACCGAAAGGUCGCAGGUUCGAUUCCCAGACACUGCCG
rnacentral:tRNA from 1 species